UACGUAGGGUGCAAGCGUUAAUCGGAAUUACUGGGCGUAAAGCGUGCGCAGGCGGUGAUGCAAGACAGAUGUGAAAUCCCCGGGCUCAACCUGGGAACUGCAUUUGUGACUGCAUAGCUGGAGUGCGGCAGAGGGGGAUGGAAUUCCGCGUGUAGAAGUGAAAUGCGUAGAUAUGCGGAGGAACACCGAUGGCGAAGGCAAUCCCCUGG
rnacentral:rRNA from 1 species